GGGGAUGUGGCUCAGUGGUAAAGUGCUUGCCUAGCAAGAGUAAGGGUCCAGGUUCAACACCUAAUACCUCUCCC
rnacentral:tRNA from 1 species